rnacentral:rRNA from 1 species
AUUGAACGCUGGCGGCAUGCUUUACACAUGCAAGUCGAACGGUAACAGGGUGCUUGCACCGCUGACGAGUGGCGAACGGGUGAGUAAUGCAUCGGAACCUACCCAGUCGUGGGGGAUAACGUAGCGAAAGUUACGCUAAUACCGCAUACGUCCUGAGGGAGAAAGCGGGGGACCGUAAGGCCUCGCGCGAUUGGAGCGGCCGAUGUCGGAUUAGCUAGUUGGUAGGGUAAAGGCCUACCAAGGCGACGAUCCGUAGCGGGUUUGAGAGGAUGAUCCGCCCAACUGGGACUGAGACACGGCCCAGACUCCUAUGGGAGGCAGCAGUGGGGAAUUUUGGACAAUGGGCGCAAGCCUGAUCCAGCAAUGCCGCGUGCAGGAAGAAGGCCUUCGGGUUGUAAACUGCUUUUGUCAGGGAAGAAAUCCUCUAGGUUAAUACCCUUGGGGGGAUGACGGUACCUGAAGAAUAAGCGCCGGCUAACUACGUGCCAGCCGCCGCAGUAAAAC